rnacentral:hammerhead_ribozyme from 1 species
AUGUAGUUGACGAGUCCCAAAUAGGACUAAACGCGCGUCAAACUGGAU